UAGCCUAUUGAACUUAUUCCAAUGAUAUUUUUGUUUUUGAAGUAGCUCUCAUGGCUGGAGUGCUUUCUAUCUUAUGGCUCCACAAUUUAAAACAUAUGUUUCCAAACACAAAUAAUCUUCAUCUUUCAAUUCAUCAAACUCUUGUCUCCUAUCAAAUCCUGGACCAAGCUAGCACUAGAUCAUACUCUUAUCUGCAUCCAUAUAUUGAGUUUCUCAUUUCUUCAGCCU
rnacentral:lncRNA from 1 species